AAUCCGUUGACCUUAAAAAGUCGUGGKUCHAAGUCCCUUAUCCCCA
rnacentral:tRNA from 1 species